CCCGCCGCUGCCCCCGCGGCCCGCGCCCCCGCCCGAGCUGCUGCGCCCCGCGCACUCCACCAUCCUGCAGCGGAGGAACCACAACAACAACGGUGCCCCUCGCUUGCCGCCCAAGCCGGCCGCCCAGCCCGCCGCGCCCCGACCCUAGCGACACACUCACCCCCAACACCCCCACACGCCCCCAACACCCCCGGACAUCAGCAGCGAGAGGUACAAAGCCAACAGCACCACAACAUUCAAUACCGAGUCACCGCAGCAUUAUAUUAUAUAUGUUACAAGGUAUAUAACUCUAAAUAUAUGUACGAUAUCACCAGUAACCGGUGUUAUUAUAUAACUUGCAAAAGCAACGCGAUAGCGAUACAAUAAAAAUGAUUUUUAUUUAAGAAAAUUAUGUUCAAAUAUAUGUAUAAGAAAUAUUUGAAAGUAAAACACGAGUCAAACUUGCGAUCCCUGUGAGCCAAGUUACCGAGGUCACGGACCGACAGUUCAAAUAUCUCCAUUACACUUGAUACAUGUUUUACAGCUUUAUUAGUUGUAUAGUUAUCGCGUUGCUGUUGCAAAUUCGGUGAUAUCUAACAAUUUCUUGAACGUUGAUCAAUUUAAACCUGUUUUCAAAUUAACUAACAAGAAAAUUUACUCCCGAUGGAAUCGAGUCACUCGUCUAAUCGACACUAGCACAGAUUAGUGACAUAAGUCGGAAUUAGUCUUUAUCGACAAUUAAAGACGCUGAUAACACUCGUCACAGUUUCACUCACAGUUUGAUUUGAAAAUACCGUUUAAGGACCGAAUUAAGAUCUCAAACAAUCCGAUUCAAAAUGAAACCAGUUUUGGAAGUAAGUUUCAUAAUCACAAUUAUGGAGUUAAAGUGCGGUCAAUGUAACUUGGUUACUUAAAUACAAAAUAUAACAUAUUGUGAGCGAUAUGUCUUAGCUCCGUGCCAAGUUACAUUGAUUGAUCACAGCGGUGAACAAACUGUCUAAUGGUCUAAUGUUGAUCAACGUUCGAGAUUGUUAUUAUAAUCUGUUUUAUAUUUUAUAUGAGUCAUGUUUCAUUCUUUUACAGUUAUACCAAAAAAAAAUAUGGAAAAAGUAUAAAUUUUAGUUCAAUUUUCACGUUUCUUUGAAACUUAACGUGUGGUCAUUAGCACGGUACAUUUGUAGCGAGUAUCCGCUAUGUUGAUGUGUAUCGAAGACUUGUUCUGAUCGUAUGGUUGAUGUACAACCUAGUAUCAAAGUUAACUUUAUUUUAAUGGACGUUAAAACUCCCGCAAUUAAGAAUUUAAUACUCGUAUCGCGAAGGGUUUGACAAACAUUCAACUUAAACCCUAGUCUUACGUGAUUUUACACACUCUUGACGCAUACUCGAGUGUAGUUUCCUCACGAUGUUUUCUUUCACCGUUUUAAGCAAGUGAUAAUUACAUUGUCAUAUACCUAACACUGUAACACUCCACAUAACGCACAAAAGAGUAUCAAACUCGGCAAAGUAUCAUGAGUAUUAUGACCCAUUAGUGUGUGAAGACAUUUGUACCUAAGAUUCUGAUCUGGUAGUCCAACGAUCUUACCACUAGGCUAUCAAUACAUCAGCUUUAUAACGAUAACCACUGUGUAAUAGUUCACAGCCGGCGACUGACUACACGUCUAGUUCAACACUCGGCUUCGUCUAUAUAUUUUUCUGGUAUGACCACCUGAAGUAGCACAAAAACAAAACAAUAUUCUAAACAAUAACAACGGAUAAAAGAUAGCAAUAUUUUAUAUUAUUAUACGUCACUCAUAGACAAGAAACGUUAUUACAGGCAUUAAUGCAGAUAGUGUCGCUCAAAUAUAUGUCACGUGACAAGUCUGUAGUCAUAAAGUGAGACAGAUUAAAAAUGGUAUCUUUAAAUAUCAUUUCGUUGUCACUGUAAAGUAGUAUGCAGUGAUAAAUGUUCAUUUUUAAACGUUCAUAACUAGGUUUCGUUCGGCUUGCACAAGUAUAAAUCAUGUCAAGCAUGCAUGAGUGUUGUCACUCAUAGACAACGAAAAUCAUUUUUGUGUAUGGAAAAGUCACUUGACAUAGGUACAUUUAAGCUAUUCUCUCUACGUUAUGAUCGUAAACGUCACUUGUCUAUGGUCGAUAUAUACAGCCUAUGUAGUGUGUAAGUGUAUAUAGAUAUAGAAUAUAUAUUAUAUGUAACGCAUUGUAUAUUAUAGACAUUCCACGAGAAUAUAUAUUAAUAUUAUGGAUUUGUUGAAUGUGAUACGAGUUUAGAUUGUAUUGACAUUUGUUUUCCGUAACUUAGAUACAACGCCAUCUAGUGUCAAACUAAGCAAUUUCUGUGCUGAAUACUAGACAACUGAUAAACAUACUUAAAUAUUUGUUAAUACACCCAGACAGAAGAAAUAACCUUGCUCAUCAUUUUAUCUGGCUGGAAAUCGAACCCGCACUAUAGCAGUCAAGGUCCUAACCACUUAACUUCCAACCGAAGUAUUUUGAAUACUGCCCUAUUCAUAUAAAGUUACAAUCUCAACUCGUAAUGCUUAUUAAUUAAAUAUAUAUUUUAUUUUAUAAACACAUUCAGUCUAAUGUAACACAAAAUCAUGUUUUCAAAUGAAAAAACAAAUACUAAACCCGUCUUGUGUUCUAACAGUACUCAAUGUUACCUCCCUUUAACAUACAAAAACAAUAGAAAACUUCAAAUGUAUGAGAAUGAAUGUAUGUGAAUUCCUCUUCGACAAGUGACGUGACUGUGACUUGCCAGUUCAAUACAUUUGAGGGAUUCGUCAGCGUUAGCGAGGAGAUGUGUAACUCGUGUACACGUGCCUAUAUGGUCGUUGAACAUAUGAUUUUAUGUUACUAUCACAUAAUAUACUAUCAUACAGAUCACCUUUUUGCCUCUCUCUGGAGCUUAGUAGACGACGAAUAAGUUGUACCUUGUAAAAGUGGAAUUAUAUGAAUCUAUAUUCUUUGGGUUAAACCAUUUUUAACAAUGUAGAUGUUUCUAUUCGUCUAAAAGUUACCUUCACGUUACAUUCACCAAUGUUAAACUGCAAUACAUAUUAAAAAAUCGUAUUUAUUACUGAAAUAUAUCAGUCGUUUAUUUUUUUAUAUGUGUUUGUAUAGAAAGAGACAAAUAUAAUUCUUAAACUUAUCUAAUAUACAGAAGACAAAUUAUUCGUCGUCUAUUCAGCUGCCUAUAUAGAUAUAAAUAAACCCGAAAGACACCAAAAUACAGUGAAAUAACAAUACAGAGUAUAUCGUGCAGUGCCAACUAAUGGUCAAAAGGUUAUUGCGACGGCGGACAGCAGGCACUAGGUCACUGUCCUUAUGUAGUCUAUGUUAAUAUAUUAUAAUGUUAAAAACUAUAUCACAUUACAUCAGAGUAGGACUCCUCUCAGAGUGAGACUAGCAGGUGUGUGAGCGAGUCGGCGCACUAGACUAGCGACGUCUCGCUUCCACAUCUGUGGUCUUUUUUAAUAGGAGGAGUUGAGAUAAGAAAUUGUGAAUAUCAACCUUAGUGCGAUGGUGUAAAGACUAUUAUAUUUAACACUAAGAACGGGUCCGUGUUGCCUUCCCUAGAAAUUCAAGGAGUUGAACAUUGGCUACGUCUCAUGACCUUGUAAUACGAGAUAAAGUAUGAUUUUAUACCUAAAACAUUGUUUAUUGGGUUUUUAAAUUCUUAAUUUGAACUUAUUACAUAUAUUAUGUACUAAGACUAUCUAAGUCCUGUGACUUCACUCGAUAUCUUUCUGUUUCUGUUAUAAUAUAUGUUCACACUACUUUGUGGAUGGCGAUUUUAACUGUCCGGCUACUAACGAAAUUAUUACAAAAUAACGUAUUUCUGUAGUCGCUAUAAGAGCAAACAACAAAAUUGAGUUUAGCACGGUGAUGAAUUUAUUUUCUAAUUUUCAUAUCUCUAUAUCCUACUUGUACGGAACCCUCAGCCGCGAGUCUGACUCGCACAUUUUUUUGAAAUUGACUCGCACUUUGUUGAUCUUUUACUUUAAUCUAUUUUACAAAUAAUCUUCCUGUUCGUUAGUCUCACCUAAUCACGACACUAGCUAAACCGACUUAGCUGAUAUUCGUUUUAAAAUUAAUAAAAAAAUUCACGCGAAAAACAGCGAUAUCGUUGUCAUAGUGACAUUUGCACAAAUACAAAAUAAAUACAUUAUGACAGCGACAUCGCAAAGUUAUCGCAUUCUGCCUGUACCCCUGCGAGUAAGUCCUGUCACUACACUACAGGUCUAUUCAUGAUUCCUUAUUGAACGCAUACAAUGUCAUAUUCAACAUUAAUCGUUCAGUAAUACGGCCGACGUAACUUGGCACUUCGGAAAUGAUCCAAAAGUUUGUCAGAGCGAGAUCAAAGUAUAUAAGCUAGCUGUGUUAAACAGAGACAGCGAUAUCUCGUAGCUCUCUCCCGACGUGUCAAGUUACAUCAGCCGCGCAGUAAGCAACAUGAUCCUACAGAACUGUAAGUUUCUAAAGCUCUCCGUACGCGAGGCAACGCCUGACAACUUUAGUGUCACACGUUGUUGAACCUAAGUUGUAUAUAGGUAGGACUUGUGUUGCCACGUGUAUGUAGGAGCUUGUUUUAUUACUAUAUAAUAUGUAUGUAUAUUAUUAUGUCCUAAUAUAUAUUGUAUAUGUUAUCGUAGUGUAUAUUAUAUGACCGCUCAGCGAUGCUUGGGCAUAUACUGACUGUUAUAGUUUUAGCUAUAUUACUUAUUGGACACGACAGUUUUGUAAAUCUCUUGAUAUUUUAAACAAAUUAUGAAGUAUUAUAAUGUUUGUUUGAAAAGCAAAGUUUUGACUAUGAUUGCUUCUGACUUUCUAAUGAAUUGUAAAAUGUGUAAAUUUUGCUUAGUUUGAUAAUUGCAGGGUACGCAAUGAAGCAACAAUUUUAAUUUUAAUAUCUGUUAAAUUUGAAAAGAUAAAACGAUCUUUUCCUGCUUAUAAUUGACACAAUAUAUGUACCAAAUGUCGGUCGUGGCUUCACAUCCCCUAAGCGAAGCCGAGGGCGAUAGUUAGUAUUGCAAUAAAAGGUAGUAUAUCUAAAACUAUUAACUAUCAGAGUGGAAUAGACCAACUAUGACAAAUUGCAUUUAUAUGUAAAUAAUACUGUUGCGUGAUCGUUGUAACUUGUGUGAGUGGCGGAGGGCCGGACACCGCUCCUAGCACAACACACACUAAUAUAGUUAAUUACACCCAAACACAGAACAAAUGAUCGUGCUCAACACACAAACGUUUAUUCUGCCUGGGAAUCGAAUUCACGAACCGUCUGUCUAGGACCGGUGUUUUGGCUCUCGUAAAUAAAUGAAAUAAAUAAAUAUUAGUAAAUAAUAAAUUGGUAUGAAAUGCUCCUAGAUUAUAUUAUUAUGUUUUUGAAACUGUUAAACAACAAUAUUUCCUAAAGUGUUGCCAUAGUAUUCGAGAAUAUUAUUAUAUACAAUGUUAUUUUUUAGUGCGGAUAUUACGCAAAGUGCCCGGUCAAUGUGUGACGUCGCACAAAUUUUAGUUUUUUACAUUUCAUAAAGCAAGAGAUUACAACCGAAUACUGAAACGUUACUACCCUUUAAGUGCCGUGAAGUGUCAUUCUAUCUACCACUUUAAGGUGUAACGUAACGAUAGUUAGAGUGAAACUUUGAAAGAUGUUCAAAGUGCAGUAGCGUUUGAGUGUGUUCGGUUUUACACAUCGACCGGUCAAUAUUGUUGAAACAUUGCGAGACAGUGAUUAUUAUAAAUAAUAGAGAUUAUGUUAAGAGACAAUGUUUUAGUGAAAGUGUACAGCUAGUGUUAAGUGGAAAACAAUAACUUAAAUAUGUUAGUGUAAGACGCAGAGUCGCGCGAACCACACGCCAAGGUGCUUCGAGUGACGCUCUGUGCGCUGGCACCUGAGGGGGUAAGGCCCUGCGUACACGGCUGUGUAGCCACGUGCAUGCGGGGCCUUAUCAGUCAAGCCAAGGAAUUUGAUGGUAAGUUCUUACUCAAAUUCCUUACCAAUGUAAUAUAAUAAUAAUAGUGAAUGAUUACAAGCGAGGUGUCAGCUACCACAGCGUCGCGUAUCAACCCGAACAUUGUCCCCUUACUGAAGUGUACCGUAGUAGUAACUCGUGCCUCCGACAGUCGCUCACGCAGACUCCUGACAAUAUACUGUGGGCGGACGCCGAGGGCGGGCGGGCGGAUGUACUGACUCCUACAACUAGACAGAUAAUGAAAUGCCAAGAGAUAUAUGUAUGUGAUGUUUCUACAAUUGUUAGUUUCGAAAGAGAAUGUUCAAAUGUGUGGAAAUGACAUUUAGUUUUAAUGUUGUUUAUGUCAUUGUUAUACAUUCAAGUUUUUGCUGUCAAUGAUAACGGUUGUCGAAAUUUUGCUUUAUUAGAGGGAUUUCGUAUUAAAAGUACCUCUUUUGUACUCGAAAAAUAUAGGUAACAGUUGAUUUGGAAAAUGUAAACUCCUCCUACACAAAUAUUGUUCAGGUGAUAAUUUUGUAUGUUAAACUAUAUAAAGAAUGACUGCUAAGAAAUGAAAUAGGUAGGUUUAGCUUGUAAAAUUAUUGUCAAUCAAUAUUGCGUGUUGUUUUCCAAAUAAACUAUAAUGCUAUUGAAAAAAGUCAUUCGAGAGCAGAAGCAGUAUUUCAGAGUUAUCACGUAUGUUCUAAAAUAAAUAAUCAACAGUUUCUAACAAAACUCUUUCACUAAAUUCAAUGAAUGUGUUGAAAAUGAAGUAGUAAUGUGAGUGGCACGUCCUCCCCCCGCCGCGACAGCUCCCACGCGACUGGGACGAGUGUAUCUGUAGUAAUAUGCUGUAUAUUAUAUGAUGUACAUAGUAAUUAUAUAUGUAUUGUGAGGCGGGCAGGUCUGUAGGGCCCUGUGUGUCAACCAGCUGGGUUUCAAAUGUUUACAUGAAAGUCUAAUGUAAAUUUUAAGAUUCUAAAAUCAUAUUCAAAUCAAAAUACUGUUUAGUUUUAAGACAACAUUGUGUUAAUUUACUUUAUCAAGUAUACUUCUGAAAAUGGUACAAAUUAUUAAUGUUGUUUAAAAUGAGAAGUUUUUAUGUAAAAGCCCCUGCACACCUGCCGGCCGUCAAGUUAUAAGUAAUGUUAAGUAGACGAAGACGACGCAUGUAAAUGGGCCUAACAGUGAGUAUAUAUAUGUUAUAUAUGAUAACGCGCUAGAUGUAAGCGACGACCAUCUGUGAAUACACUUGUACAUAUUAUAUUAAACGGAUAGUGAUUCAUAUAUA